rnacentral:misc_RNA from 1 species
ACACACGGUGAUGGAGGGGAGCAGCCCAGGCGUGAACGCGGGCACCGGCACACGGGAGCCAAGAGCACGCAUGCGCACCCAAAAGCACUCACUAUGCUAUACUGGCGAGCCGCGGCGCUGAGAGGCAUCUCCUGAAGCGACUUGGUUUUGUUGUUGCUUGCCCGCGUGAAGCGGUGGUGGCGGGGGCGCACGUUUCAUGAUGUUGCACCCCCGGCCCAGCCCACCCGCCACCGUCUCGGAAAGAGCCGUGGGACAGCCUGGAAGGCCUGCUGGUUUGCUUGCGCCCUACGCGCCCGGCGAGCGUCUUCGAGGGCCACCCCCUCGGCACGGGCGCCUUGUCGCCGAGGUGUCGGGGAUGGCGCACCCGGUAGGGAUGCCCCGGGCCGGCAAGAGGGGCUGCACCGUGGGCGGUCCGGCGUGUACGUGAAGGGCGCCGUCGCCAGGGUGAUGGGCAACGCGACCUGGACGCUGCUGACGGAUGCUGGCGAAGGGGUGCGCUCUGCGGCACCUGUGCGCAUGGUGGCGCGGGAGCCGCCUAGGAAACCGCACCGCAACGCAAAGCUGCUGUAACGCUGGUAAGCGGGGUGCUGCUGCGUGCGCGACCCGCGCGCCGUGGAGGUCAUCGCGCUCAUCCUCUCUAGCGGCGGCUGGGGGGUGGGGGCGGAGCGGAUGUUACUGCUGGGAAAGAGCGGAUCUACCGCACUCUGUGUCUGCAUCGGAGCCGGAGCGGGACGGCAUUGGCGAGAGGGCGUAGUGGGUGCGCGACCAGCACGGGGCGAUUCGCAUGCUGCACGGCGAGCGGGUGAGGGGCAUGAGGCUUUGCUGUACCCUGGCCAAGCGCAAGGGCGCCGUGAGCGGUGUUGCGGGCAUGCUUGUGGUGCGCUGCGUCCUCACGACGAGCCUGCGCGCCCACAGGCGGCAGCAGAGGCGGGGGCCGUGCACUCCGGCCCGCCAUCCAGGACCUCCCUCCCAUGGCCGCGCGGUGGUCCCUGGGCGAGGGUGUGCUCGCGACGGCCGGCGGGGACCUCGUUGUGAAGCGCACGGAUGAGUAGGCGGUGGCGCGCAGUGUGCUUUUGCAGGUGGUGCCGUCACAUCCCCGUAUCUUCGCAUCCCUGCCAUCACCGGUGGCUGUGGCGCGCGCAGGAGUGCGCUGUGCCGAAACGCCGUACGCGUUGCGGGCGUGCCGCUUGCGCACAUGUGAAUCCAUGGCUCGGAGGGCGCGGUGGAUGCGGUGGGGAGAAAGAAUAGCGACGUCGACGAGCUGCACGGGUGCGCUCGAGCGUCCCGGAUGGCCUCCCCGUGCGGCGCUGCCGCAGCUGUCUUCGACGCCUUUCGCCGAUGGCUUGCAGGAUGGCGCCUUUGAGGACAUGUCGGUUCUCCGCCAGCGAGGCUGCGGGAGACGGCGCUGCGCAAGGCUGUGCCGGACGAGUGGCGCUUUGCGCCGCAGGUCGUUCUCACGGCGGCGCGCUGCAUGUUGGUCUGGCAUGUGGACGGGACCGGCGUGUUUGUGCGGAUGCCGACAGCUGCGUGCGGGUGCAGGUCUCUUACCGAGCACUUGUUGCUGAGGGAAGUCGUGGUGACAGGCGACUGGGGGAGGGGAGGAAUGGGGCGCUCGCCCGCUGCGGAGGCUCCGCUGCUUGUGCUGAGAAACCAGGCCUGUCCCCCCAGGAAAGUUGCAGCUGACUCACGCGGUGUGAGGGGCAGUGCACGCGCGGAGUCACCGAUGCAUGCGCAUAAGUGUGUGUGUGUGUGUGCUGUGGUGAGUGGGUGCGCCUUGGACAGUAGAUGCUGACGGACAACUGACGCGCUCCCCUUUUCCUGGCCGCCUCCUCCUCUCCGCUCUAGGUCUGCAGGCGAGUGCGCCUGUCCCUGCGAACGGGCUUGGAUGCACGGCAUCCCCUCAUACCAGGUCCCACGGAUCCCACUCCAUUGCGAUCCUUCUCUCACGCCGUUAGGAGGUGUGCCGGAGAGGUGUGUUGCAUAUGCGGCUGUGAUCGUGACAGUGCAGAGGAAGCCCCUCUUCCGCUGGGCUCCGAUGGACUGGUUGCGGGUGGUUAAAUGAUCAUGGUGCUGCGGGAGGGCGUGCGGGUGUCGGAGGAGUUCGUCCGUCGCCUCGAGGACCCCGCCCAGGGCAGCUGCUUCGAAGCGGCUGCCAGCAGAUGGGUGGAAGGCGCCCGCGCCCGCUGCCGGAAGAAGGAGCGGGUGCGAACGUGGGACGCGCUGCCGCAUGUGUGGAAGGGCAUGGAUAUCGCCGCCUCUAAGGGUUACCCUCGCGUGCGCCAACACCGACGGAUGAGGACCCACAAGCACUCUUAGUCGCUUCCUCCGCGUUCGAACAACGGAGUGCCGGGCGUCGUAGCCUCUCCUGCGGCGCCGUCGGCUGCGGACAGCCCCCGGCCUGAUUGCGUGGACGCCGUGCUCGCCGGUGCCGUGAGGAUGGUCAGCGCCGCCCAGCGACCACCGGCCCGGAGGGCGCACUCUCGAUGGCGCAGGGAGGGACCACCGCUCCUGGCGCCAUGUGCUCGAGGGCGGCUUGACGUGGGCCCCGCUGAGCACCCACCCGGUCCACAUCCUCACGGCCGGCCUGUAUUACCCAGGCUGGUACGCGAUGCCGACCCUGGUCGUCGUGUUCUCGACGAUGCACGGCGCCGCAUUUAAGGGGCGUGACGCGACGCAAGGAGAGAGCCGCGACGCUGCGAUAACCUUGAAUAAGGUCUUUGAGUGCCUCCUCACUUGGGCGCUGAUUUCGCGCGGGUUCCCCGUCCGCAGCGCACGUUUCCCGGACGAGCGGACGACAGACCCUGUGGAUAUGAUUUGCUCGACCGCGAGCAGCAGGAGACGGUGAGACGGCAGGAAGAGAACCCACUCUUGCAGAGCAUCAGGAAGACAGGGCGCCACCACGGGCACCCGAUGGGGGCACGGCCCCGCCGACCGUGUAAGUGCGCCGCACAUGGGAGGCGUCUUUUCUUAGUUUUCUUGUCUGCUGGAGCUGCGGCUGACCUUCAUUCGGAUGGCGCCUCUGCCAUCGAUGCUUUCCUCGGGGGCAAUCUCCACACAGUCAUGCAUUCAACGUGGAGCUACUUCACUCCGUGACUCGCCGUCCACGCGUGAACCACGGCCUGUUGCAUAAAAUCCGGCGAGAAUCCCACAGACAGACCGAGUUGUGAUCUUGCACACCAAGCGCCAAGGGCCAACACCGGCGGCACGUCAAAGUGAGGCAAGAAGCGGGAAGGGCAGGUAGCUCGACACUGCUUUUGAUGCACACACGCGUACCGAUGCGCUUGUGUGAAAAGGUGCGCUCUAUUCCCAGGGUGUAUGGCUCCACGUGGAAAGCGGCCCAAUCGCUCCUGGGCCAAGCCAAAUUGACAUAGACGAAUGUGCUGACUCGCCCGUGGCCUUUGUGCAACUCUCUCUUCUCUAUCGUAUCUCUCUCUACCCCUUCCUUCCUUUUGUUACGCAG